rnacentral:rRNA from 1 species
ACGGCGGGACGGGACGGGGUAGGAGUAACGACGGUGGGGAACCUGCCCUGAAGUGGGGGAUAACAUCUGGAAACAGGUGCUAAUACCGCAUAACAACGAAAACCACAUGGUUUUCGUUUCAAAGAUGGUUUCGGCUAUCACUUCAGGAUGGGCCCGCGGUGCAUUAGCUAGUUGGUAAGGUAACGGCUUACCAAGGCAACGAUGCAUAGCCGAGUUGAGAGACUGAUCGGCCACAAUGGAACUGAGACACGGUCCAUACUCCUACGGGAGGCAGCAGUAGGGAAUCUUCCACAAUGGGCGCAAGCCUGAUGGAGCAACACCGCGUGAGUGAAGAAGGGUUUCGGCUCGUAAAGCUCUGUUGUUGGAGAAGAACGUGCGUGAGAGUAACUGUUCACGCAGUGACGGUAUCCAACCAGAAAGUCACGGCUAACUACGUGCC